GUUCCUCUGAGAAAGAAGAGCCAGACGGAUCUGGACAUAGCUGCUCUGAAGGAUCUCCCUUCCAAGACCAGACACCAGGUUUACUCCAGUCCCCCUCCAGGUCAGGGAAACUCUCCAGGUUACCCCAACCCAAACCUUGCUGCCCUCAAAUGACCCAAGCAUACCCCCAUAACAGCUACCCCUUCUACUACUACUACUACUACUACUGCCCCUGUGCGGACUGUUAAAGCACGAAGUGCCACUACCUCGUUGAACACUGCCCCCACCAAAACUGCCCCUCCAACAAUUACCCUUAAAACUACAGCCCUCACUAAAGCUGCCCCCUCCACCUCUGCUCUGCCCCCCACUGAGAGGCCAUGACUGCCUGAUGAGAACCAUUGUGUCAAGAAGCUCCUCUCCAACUGCCAACCUGAACAAGCGAAAGCUAACAAACCCAGAGCUAAGCCGGAACCUCCAGCUGAGGUGGGCUCUGUUGAGGUCAUCAGGAUGGUGGGACAGAGCAGCCUCAUGAUUGGCUGGAUGAGCUGGGCUGCAGCAACGGAACCUUUGUGUAUGGAGACAGGAUCUAUGUAGAUGGGGAAUUCCACAAGUCUGUAAUGAGCUCCGCAUGCACCAAGCUGGAUCUGUCCGGUCCGGUUCACAUCAGCGUUCAGACCCUGGGUUCCAUUGGUCUCUACACUGACAAGAUUCAUGUCAUCUACAGGGGGAAACCAUGCCCAGUUUAGGACAGACCACACCCCUUUCAUCAUAGACCACACCCAUGACACCACAGCGUCCACUGCUCUUUGCACAGACCACGCCUCCCCAGACUGCAGGACUCCGCCCACACACCGACACAGUGGGUCCACCAAACCAAUUUUCACUGUCCAGUUGAAACCUUUCUCACCAGAUUCAGAAGCUCAAACGGUGAAUGGCAGACGAGGUCUGGCUCCUGUUGCCUUCCUAGAGGAAGUUCUUGUUCCAGACAGACAUGUAAGCCCCGAAGGAACAGCUGAUAGGCCACUGUGACUGCCAAUUAGAGAGAGGACAAGAUGAUAGGCCACUGUGACUGCCAAUCAGAGAGAAGACAAGAUGAUAGGCCACUGUGACUGCCAAUCAGAGAGAGGACAAGAUGAUGAGCCACUGUGACUGCCAAUCAAAUGAUGCUUCCCUACAGAGAGAUUAUAGUGGCCAACAUUAAUGACGUCAUCAAACGCUGCCUGCCCGUGACAAAAACAUUCAUAAGUGCUCACAGCCUAAAGUCAUUUGAAAUGGAAAGCUACACUAAAGCACUAGCUGAAAUGUGGGUGUGUAUGGCCCAGUUUGACAUUGUGCUUCUAUAAACAGAUGCUUUUAACCUACAUCCUGCUCAUUGAGAUCGUGUCAAAUCACCUCGGUGCUUCAAAAUCCCCCACUUUCCCGUGUCUAAUCUCUCGUGGACAGACGCACUUAGCAUAACUGGUAUCCUAGCGUCUGUCAGCAGACUGUGGGAUGCGACGACUAACGAGGAAUUUAGUUUCCGGGGAACAGAUUUUUCGUCACUGAUUAUUUUGGACAAAUCACGAUUUCGCAUCUUUCCAUUUUCAGAAGAGGAGGGAACAUUUGGAACAUGGACUUGCCUGUAAAUUGCAACUGGAGAGGAGCCGGCCUGCGUCCCCUCCACGUUCUAGUAUUUUUUUCUAACACAUCUGUCCCCAGAACUUAAUCAAGCAUCUGACACAAUUACGCAAUAUUUUAGUUUUGGGUUUCUGAGAUUAUUCUGUAUGUGACAAGUGUCAAAAACAAAGGUGGGCCUGAAUAAUGUGACAACCUGUCUGUCUGACAACCUGUCUAACAAUCCGUCUGAAAGCCUCUCGAACAUGGCGGUGAUAUCAAGUGAUAAUGUUUUACGUUAUGAUAAGGCAAAGUCGUUUUCACAAGGCCAUUUUACUUGAUCUUUAGGUAUUGAGCCAAAUAUGGGGAAAAAGCUUCAUUCCAAAGACUUUGAUAUUUCUGUUCCUCGUCGUUACGUUUACAGAAAAUGUUUUUGAUCAAAAUCAAAUCAUGAAGUAAAUUGUCUGAGAUGUCCUUCUACUAGAAUCGAUUCAAUCUAUGGAGUCGUGUCAUUCAGAUGGAUAGAAGUUUAUGACUGAUAUAUUUUGUAGAGAUUAUUAAAUAACCCGAGGUAUGCAAAUGCAGAGUACUUUGUGUGACUUUCAUCUCCUCGUUCUCUGUCUACAGGUCUAACUGACGUUAACUCUUACGUUCUGACCUGAUUAUCUAAAGGCAUCUCAAAUGAAAUGGAGAAAAUACACAUUCUGUGUUACACAUGAUUACUGCAUAUCUGUCUUUAACUGAUAAUGAUGUAUAUGGUUGGGGGAAUGGCCAUGCUGCCACAAAUAUAUUUUUAUAUCAUUCUGUCUUAGAUGUAAUUUGAUUUCCUAAUGAUUCCUUAGGCUGUAUAAAGAGAAUAAAUGUUUAUAGGACACAUCACAUACAAUGGUAUGUAUUGUGUUUCGAGGAUUA